AGCUGAAUGGCGCAGCGGAAGCGCGCCGGGCUCAUACGUGUAACCCGGAGGUCGCCUGAUCGAAACGGGCUUCAGCUA